rnacentral:rRNA from 1 species
UGCGCAGGCGGUUAUUCAAGCUUGAUGUAAAAGACCCCAGCUUAACUGGGGGAAUGCAUUGGGAACUAGAUGACUAGAGUAUAAGAGGGGGAGUUGGAAUUCCUAGUGUAGGGGUGAAAUCUGUAGAUAUUAGGAAGAACACCGGUGGCGAAGGCGAACUCCGGGCUAUAUACUGACGCUGAGGCGCGAAAGCGUGGGGAGCGAACAGGAUUAGAUACCCUGGUAGUCC